rnacentral:lncRNA from 1 species
AUCAUAAAGGCCCAGGCCCAUCUAAGGUAAUAAAGACUACCGUCGGCCCAACACAGGAGGGGAGAUCCCUGCUUCGCCUCGCCCGACCAGUGCUCCAGGGUCGGACGCUCCUGACCCCUUGACAGAAAAACUCCGCCUCGCCCAACCCACGGGCCUAGGGUCCGGAGCGCCCGACCCCUCAGCGCCAGACUCCGCCUCGCCCGACCCCGGGCACAGGGGGUUGGACUCACCCGGGCCCAUCAGAUGAGUAUCCGCCUCGGGCGCGGGUCUCGUGGGUCCCCCUAUCGAUCUCCCCAUAAAUGCGCUGCAGUUCUGACACGCAGAAAGGUGCUCGUGCCCCCGACGCAACCCGCCACAAGUACCAAUGCGUGGCCGCAUGGUACAGGCUACAGUGGCUGCGGCUUCCUCCGAUUCGCUACAGGGCACUCAUGGCCUGCGCCGCCCGGAAUAGGAGGAAGCCGCGCCCGUUCUCGCGCCCCACACAUACGGUGACAGGGACACGACGUUCGCCUUCCACGGGCCGUCAGAAAGAU